rnacentral:lncRNA from 1 species
ACCGCAGAUGCUUAUAUUACAACGUUAUCUCUGAUGCUGCCAUUUUUAAUUUAAUUUUAUUUUUUGCACUGUACAUGCGAGCUGUUCAUAAUUCAGUAAAACCCACACAGUGAAGAUUGUAUAGAUUGCCAGGAUUUUCAUUUCACCUGCACAUUUACCUUGCGGGAGUGGGUGUUCAUACAACCGGGAAGUUUAUUUAAUACUUGCUGAUGGCUCUUGGAAAAUCAAAUCAGUUAUAAGCAGGGCUCUUGGCAGGAAAAAUAACCAAGAACACUGAUGUUAAAGUUACUGUUAAUGAUAACCCAGAGGGCAUUGGAUAACUGCCCAUGUAAAAUGUUAGCUGUUCAUAACCCAGUUUACACUGUAAAACACAAAGGCAGACGCUGUGAAAGGUAAUGAUGGGUACAGUGGUGGGAGGUUUUGUAAACUGAGGGAAUAUAUCAUGUUUUGGCCUGAACUGUCAGGAGGAAAAGCACAAAUAUCUGCUGAGCUUCGCGAUGGUUCAUGAUUUUUAAUGUUCUGGUUGGAAAACAUUGUAUGAUAUGAAAUAAAUGUGACAUUGGAGAGACGACUACUAAUUGCUUUAAUAAGAUAUUGCUAAUUUAAGGUACAUCAAUGUUUGCAUUUACAAUAGUUACAUGAUGUUGCUGUCAAAUAAUAAAGAUCUGCUUAUUUAUUAAAGCUUAGUAAAAAUGUUGAUGUUAAAA